rnacentral:rRNA from 1 species
UACGGAGGGGGCGAGCGUUAUUCGGAAUUAUUGGGCGUAAAGGGCGCGUAGGCGGCAUGGUAAGUCAAAGGUGAAAUCCCUCGGCUCAACUGAGGAAUUGCCUUUGAAACUGCCAAGCUUGAGGCCGGGAGGGGGUAGCGGAAUUCCCAGUGUAGCGGUGAAAUGCGUAGAUAUCAGGAAGAACACCCGUGGCUAAGGCGGCUCUCUAGUACGGUACUGACGCUGAGACGCGAAAGCGUGGGGAGCAAACAGG